AAGUCGUAACAAGGUUUCCGUAAGUGAACCUGCGGAAGGAUCAUUAAUCCGUCUCCCAACGUUUUACAAAUUUGAUGGAAAUUCUCAACAUUCCGGGUGCAUUUUAUUGGCAUGAGAAGGGACUUCUCGUUAUGAGACACUUCAGUGUAGAGCAGUGAGGUGAAAUCUGAGCUCUUCAUGGCUUGGAUUUGGUUCUGGAGCACGACGCGGCGAGUUAAAAUGCCAAAUGCAUUCGGUUAUUUCUGUUCUACAUUUUAUUCUAUCAAACUUAUAAACCCCAUGUACAACAACUUGAACUAAACAUCUCUUCUGAUCACAUUGACUUGUGUGAUGAAGAACAAAUCUGAAAUUAAGAACAACUCUUAACAACGGAUAUCUUGGUUCUC
rnacentral:misc_RNA from 1 species